AAUGAACGCUGGCGGCGUGCCUAACACAUGCAAGUCGAGCGAGAAAGUGGCUUCGGCCAUGAGUACAGCGGCGAACGGGUGAGUAACACGUGGAUAACCUGCCUGGAAGUGGGGGAUAACUCGGGGAAACCUGAGCUAAUACCGCAUACGCUUUCCGGAUCGCGGUCCGGAUCGGAAAGGUUGCCUCUUCUUCGAAAGCUAUCGCUUCCAGAGGGGUCCGCGCCUGAUUAGCAGUUGGUGAGGUAAUGGCUCACCAAGGCGACGAUCAGUAGCCGGCCUGAGAGGGUGAUCGGCCACACUGGAACUGAGACACGGUCCAGACUCCUACGGGAGGCAGCAGUGGGGAAUAUUGCGCAAUGGGGAAACCCUGACGCAGCAACGCCGCGUGGAGGAUGAAGGCCUU
rnacentral:rRNA from 1 species